rnacentral:rRNA from 1 species
UACGUAGGGGGCAAGCGUUGUCCGGAAUUAUUGGGCGUAAAGGGCGCGCAGGCGGUCUUCUAAGUCUGAUGUGAAAUCCCACGGCUUAACCGUGGAAGGUCAUUGGAAACUGGAGGACUUGAGUGCAGAAGAGGAGAGUGGAAUUCCAUGUGUAGCGGUGAAAUGCGUAGAGAUAUGGAGGAACACCAGUGGCGAAGGCGACUCUCUGGUCUGCAACUGACGCUGAGGCGCGAAAGCGUGGGUAGCGAACAGGAUUAGAUA